rnacentral:rRNA from 1 species
AUUGAACGCUGGCGGCAUGCUUUACACAUGCAAGUCGAACGGCAGCGCGGGCUUCGGCCUGGCGGCGAGUGGCGAACGGGUGAGUAAUACAUCGGAACGUGCCCAGUAGUGGGGGAUAGCUCGGCGAAAGCCGGAUUAAUACCGCAUACGACCUGAGGGUGAAAGCGGGGGAUCUUCGGACCUCGCGCUAUUGGAGCGGCCGAUGGCAGAUUAGCUAGUUGGUGGGGUAAAGGCCUACCAAGGCGACGAUCUGUAGCUGGUCUGAGAGGACGACCAGCCACACUGGGACUGAGACACGGCCCAGACUCCUACGGGAGGCAGCAGUGGGGAAUUUUGGACAAUGGGCGAACGCCUGAUCCAGCAAUGCCGCGUGUGUGAUGAAGGCCUUCGGGUUGUAAAGCACUUUUGGCGGGAACGAAAAGGACUGUGCCAAUACCACGGUUCGAUGACGGUACCCGCAGAAUAAGCACCGGCUAACUACGUG